GAACAACAUUCGAGUUCUCCUGUUCCUCUGACGUUCAGAACCAUGGCCCAGUCUCCACUCUAAGAAAUUGAAACCCGAAGUCCUGGAUUGAUAGUUUUUCCAUCCGCCAGUGGCAAAAAUUACGCAGCUACUCUGAACGGAUUUUAUUACGUUCAUCAUUCUUCCGGUCUCCAGAAACACACAAUGCGGUGUACCCGACAUCACAAGGGCUGCCACGGGAAGAUUAACUUGACCCCAUCCUAUAAAUCGCUGAUUUCGGAGACAAUGACGGAAAUAUGUAGUAACAUAAUACUUUAUUUUUUAAUCCUCUUUACUAAAAUUUUUCCCCCAUUAUCAAAUGAAUUCGAUAAAUACGCUGUAUUCCUCUAAAAAACUGAAUACCAGAAUUUGCAAAAUAAUCGGCCUUGUAAUACGUCAUCAAUACAUUCAUCGACUAAAAAAUGAAGACUUUCUCCUCCAUUCACGGAAGAAGAAGAAUUCGUCGUCCGAGUCCAUUUUAUUCCAAUAUUAAACCCACAUAAAUUUUAUGGUGGGUCGGAAUUAGAUUUUAUUCCGACCCACGUCCAAUUUGAUCCAUCUCUUGGUUACCGGGUUGCCCUCCCCGUGAGCAAAAUUGGAUUUUAAUAGGACGAGGAAUCAAGGAACAAGAGGAGAGGAAUGAAUGGAGAACAGGACAAAAUUAGAAUUUCGGUGAAAGUCGACGGCACGAUUUAUUUAUUUCCUUUCUACUUUCACCUACCGAGAACAUAAAUCAGGUACAAAUCCGGACCAGACGAGCACACUGUGUUCUUCGGAUGCUGCUUUCACCAAAAUAUACAUUUCGACGAGUAAUUUUGUUCUAGAGGAUUUUAAAUUGGGGAUGAAAUGAGUGAAAGUACGUGUACAUAAAGCCAUUAAGUCGGUCGCAUUGGAGGUGCAUUAAGUACUCCCUGAUUUUACAUGGAGUGGAGAAUUACUCACUGGGGCGAUGCAAUUUGCGAAAUUAGUGAGGAAAAGGGGUACUCAGGAGGAAGUUAUCAAUUUAAACCUUGUACGAUAAAGAAGUUAUCGAAAAUUUUGUUACCGUCAGGUGAUAAAUAAGUACAUGAAGAAUAAAGAGAAAUGGCUGUUAAAUUACGAACUUUUCGUAUAUCGAGGUUGACAAAAGUUUUAAAUUAUCAAAUACUUGACAUUAGUAUGUACAAAAUGAUUACAUUCCAUGAAAAAAGUUUCCCUGUUCAAAAAUAUUGCUUUAAUAUGAAAUAUUAAAGCUUCUUAAAAAUUUGGUUUUUAUUUGAAUAUCGAAAACUCCAAUUUUGAUCGAUAAUCUUUCUGUAACAUUUCGUUCGCUUGCAUUACAAAUUGUUAUCAAUAGCAUUAAAAAUUGUUAUUUUGCCUUGUUAAAUACACAUUCAACAACC